GAAAUUCGGACUGUGAUUAACAAAGAGAAAAAAAAAUCCAACCGACCACCGCGUGCCAGCAGCCACGCUCGAGCCGGGGCCGCACUGCGCGCUGGAGGGCUGUGCUUCACCGUCAGCUGCGCCCAUGCCGGAAGCCGCGUCGCGCCCACGCCGGGGCCAUGUUGCCGCUAGUGGCGCGCCUGUGCCUCGUCAGGCCCUCGCCCGCACCGUGUUGUGGAUGCUACAGUGCUGCACCAGCGACCACCUGUCGAGCGCGAUGGUCUCGUCCUUCUUCCUGUCUUGGAGUCAUGGACUCGUGGCCGAGAGGAGCUCCUGAUCCAUUUUUUAGGGGCAUAAAGAGAGCACGUCAUGGACUCAUGGCCGAGAGGAGCUCCUGAUCCAUUUUUCAGUUGAAAAAAAUACUACCUA
rnacentral:lncRNA from 7 species